rnacentral:ncRNA from 2 species
AAUAAAGAUGGCGAUGGAGCUCGCCAAAACCGCCUUUGAUUAUUGAAUUAAUUCAUAAAAUCUAAAAGGCUGAUGGCUCCUACUAUUCC